GGAAAGACUCCCAUAGGAAUAGUUUUUUCCCCCUUCUGUUGAACCACGGUGGCUGACAUUAUCAUGCCAUUUACUUGAAAUUGAUACUCAUGGAGCUCACCAGAAUUCAUGAUGCUGCUUAUGACCACAAGAUGAAUAGUGACUGCCAAUCUCCCUGAUCCUUGGUCUCAAGAGUCAGAAGUAGCUCCUAAAAGGCUUUGGGCUGGCUCCCUUUGGAUGAGUUCGUUGUGUUUAAGGAGUACACUGACCUGUACUGAUGAGUCUCUUCAUUUAUCCACUGGCAAGCCAGGCAUUAGCAUUUUAUCAUGCGUCUCACCCUCAACUACCCACAAGAUUUCUUUCCUUCUCUUGACUUCUAAAUCUGUAUCAGGGCCACCUGUGGCCAGAUCUAGCCACCAGCCUGGGUUUCUGCAUCCCUGGUUAGAAACAGUUUUACAAUUUUAAAGUGUUAUGGACAAGAAUACAGGCAAAAAUACCUUACACAAAUUAUAUGUGUCCCUCAAAACCUAAAAUAUAUUACUCUUUUGUCUUGUA